rnacentral:rRNA from 1 species
GAUGAACGCUAGCUACAGGCUUAACACAUGCAAGUCGAGGGGUAACGAGAGGAAAGCUUGCUUUCCUUGUCGACGACCGGCGCACGGGUGAGUAACGCGUAUCCAACCUGCCCCCAACUAAGGAAUAACCUUGCGAAAGUAAGACUAAUACCUUGUAAUUUCCUCAGAUGUCAUCUGACGAGGAAUAAAGAUUUAUCGGUUGUGGAUGGGGAUGCGUCUGAUUAGCUUGUUGGCGGGGUAACGGUCCACCAAGGCAACGAUCAGUAGGGGUUGUGAGAGGAAGGUCCCCCACAUUGGAACUGAGACACGGUCCAAACUCCUACGGGAGGCAGCAGUGAGGAAUAUUGGUCAGUGGGCGGAAGCCUGAACCAGCCAAGUAGCGUGCAGGAUGACGGCCCUAUGGGUUGUAAACUGCUUUUAUACAGGAAUAAAGUUAGCCACGUGUGGUUAUUUGUAGGUACUGUAUGAAUAAGGACCGGCUAAUUCCGUGCCAGCCGCCGCAGUAA